rnacentral:rRNA from 1 species
AGAGUUUGAUCAUGGCUCAGAAUCAACGCUGGCGGCGCGCUUAACACAUGCAAGUCGAACGAGAAAGUCCGCAAGGAUGAGUACAGUGGCGUACGGGUGAGUAACACGUGGAUGAUCCACCUCUUAGUGGGGAAUAACUCUGGGAAACCGGAGCUAAUACCGCAUAAGUUCGAGAGAAGAAAGCCGAAAGGCGCUGAGAG